rnacentral:misc_RNA from 1 species
GGGUUCCUUUUAUGGGGAUGAUUUUUCCCUUUCACCAUUUUCUUCUUUAAAUUAUCCGAAGAGAAAGGAUCAGAAUGAUUCAGAACGUUGCAGAAGAGCAAGAAUGGCACCUGAUAAGACCGUUCUCGUUGCAAGCCGUACAUGUCUUGAACCCACUUUUCUCCGUGAACAAUUUGUGGCUUCCGUUGCAAUCCUCGCACAGAAUGAACCUGUAGCCGCCGCAGACCUCACAAACGCCGGAAUCCGCCGUCGGCAACCCUUCAAUCAGCUUCUUCAGCUCGCCAAUCUCGUGUAACUGCCUGAUUUCCUCUGCCCCGCCGAUGUAUUCCCCGCCGAUGAAAACCGUGGGUAAGGCCAACUCCUUUUUACCAAGUAUUUGCUGUAAUUCAGCGACAAAUCCUGAAUCCAUCGACAGAUCUCGUUCGUCAAUCGAAACACGAAACCCUCGCAAUAUUGAGCGGACGGUCCGACAAUCCUCA